GUAUAAUGACACGUGAUGUCCCACCUCAUGUACCCGAUCAUACUGAAAAAUCUUUCCUCGCCCAGCUCGAUUCGUUGUCUCAACCGCCACCUUAACACCUACCACGAGACUUUCCAGGUGUUGGAUCACUGUACCUUCAACACUCGAGAAGGUGAUCUGGGUUGAGGUCGUAAAGAUGGGAAUUUGAAGAUGAGGAGACAAUAAGAAGUACAAAAGGAUGCAUUUGGCUCCCAUUUUUUAGGUUACUUCCAUGAGUACCCUGCAAUUAACAAACCAGUUGGAGUUGUGCACUGGCUUUAGCACAGUAGAUGCUGCGAAUGUUAAUGGGGUUGUGAUUGUGGAUGCUGACAUGAUUAUCCGAGGGCCGAUUGUUCCUUGGGAACUUGGUGCUGAAAAAGGCAAGGCUCUUCCUGCAUCAUAUUAUGAUUUAUGGGUAUAUUACUACUACACCUUUUUUCCUUUCAUGUAAAUGACACUAGAUUUUGGUUGAGAUCAGAUUGUAUCAGACAAGAGCAUUGUGAAUGUCAUGUAAUUCCAUUU